rnacentral:rRNA from 1 species
UACGAAGGGGGCUAGCGUUGCUCGGAAUGACUGGGCGUAAAGGGCGCGUAGGCGGAUGGUACAGUCAGAUGUGAAAUUCCUGGGCUCAACCUGGGGGCUGCAUUUGAUACGUGCUGUCUUGAGUUCGGAAGAGGGUCGUGGAAUUCCCAGUGUAGAGGUGAAAUUCGUAGAUAUUGGGAAGAACACCAGUGGCGAAGGCGGCCCGCUGGGCAGUGGCUGACGCUGAGGCGCGACAGCGUGGGGAGCAAACAGG